AUGUCCCCGGGGGAUAAUCGCACGCCGCCCGCCUCCCUCUCACCCGCUCUAUCCCUGGCCACCACAGACGGGUGCUACAGCGGCAACAAUGGCUAUCGUGAGUCCGCGGCAUGGAUUGGAUCCACCGACGACUCAUCUGGGUCUUCUCCCGUGCAGGUUGUCGGACUCCGACGAGGACCUGGUGGUCUGCGGGAUCAAGUUCUGAUCUUUUGGUCACUAACGAGUCGAAUGCUCGUCGUUGUCACCGCAAGAAUGCCAAGUUGCUGCGAGAGGGCAUCGAGGCUUCAUGGAUUGAAGCUGAGCCCUCGCUGA
rnacentral:rRNA from 1 species